rnacentral:lncRNA from 1 species
AGGUCAAUUACAUAUAAAUACAGUGUGGAAGGCAGAUAGCCAGAAAUAACAGAUUUUAUUCUCCAGAGGGAAAGGGAGAAUUAACCAGAGCAGAAGCUUCUGGAACAAGGAUACUCCAUUAGAUAAGAACGAGGCUCCGCUCCUUUGUAAAAGUGGCAUAUAUGGGAAGAAUCAGAAAGCUUUCUCAAAGUUUGGGAAAAUGCCUGAGUUGGUGAAGUCAGCGGACUAAAAACAUGCCUUGGAAUGAUUAAGAGGAAUUAUUUGGGAGGAGGUGUCUUUUUUGAGGCAACGUUGAAAGGAUUUCUCAAUUGCACUAAUAACUGUUGAAAUUCAAGUUAUUAGCACUGACAGGAAACCAACAGAGUCUUUAGUAACAUUAUAACUUUUUCACCAUCCCAAUAAAAGUGGCAAC